rnacentral:rRNA from 1 species
CAUGCCGUAAACGUUGGGCGCUAGGUGUGGGGCUCAUUCCACGAGCUCCGUGCCGCAGCUAACGCAUUAAGCGCCCCGCCUGGGGAGUACGGCCGCAAGGCUAAAACUCAAAGGAAUUGA